UUUAAUUCUUUGCUUCUUGGAGAACCACAAAAUAGAAAUUGGAUAAAAAGAAACAACCAAAUGUGAUGUGAUUGCUCAACAAGUCAGGCUUUUGCCCAGUUUAUAAUCUAAAAGAAAAGACUUCAUUUAUCCUUUUUUGUUGCUGUGAGAUUUACGAUGUCAAGAAAAUUGGAACAUGUAUCUAUUUAGAUGUCAUAGAUUUCAAGAACAAAAAUUUUUGUUGACUUAAACUCUUCUUAGACGAUUUUCUGGUAUAAAGAUGUUGUUGCACAAUCCUUUUGAUCAAAACCCUCCUCCAUUCCAACCUGAACCUUUCUCCAUCACCCCUCACCCCUUACCAUUUUCACCAUCAACCACCAACAUAUCCCCACCUUAUACCUCCGUGAAAAACCAUCAUACCCUACAUCGAACCAAUCUUGAACCACCAUCCAACGCCACCCUUCUCCCUAAUUCCCUUCACAGCCUCCACCAUAAACUACCCUUACCUCCACCAUUCCCACCUAAAACCACUGUCAGGCACCUUUAAUCACCAAAGAUCUCUAUUAUUGCUCCAUUCCAGCCAACCUUCACCAUAACCCCACCUCUAUUAACCUCAAUUACAGUCUCCAUCUUCAACCAUUACAAUCACCAUUCUUCCACCUGUCAACACCCAUUACCUUACCAGCCUUCAACUGACAUAAACAUCACCCAACACCACCACCUCCCUAAUCAGACUUCAUCCAUUUAUCACCACUAACAUCAGCUUCCACCAGUCGGACCACUAGCCAGCCACCAUAACCAUAUCACAGCAGAAAAAAAAAGAGAAGAAGAGAGAAGGGUGUGGUGAUCAACCUAACUCCGCUACCUGCGAUCGAUUUUGAGAAAGAAGUUUGAUACCUGCGAUGCUCGGUGGGUGUCUAUCAAUUCGAGAACAAAAAUGAACGUGUCGCAGAAAAGCGGGGCUGGGAUUUCAGAUUUCUUCUUUUUGCUGGCUGAAACGCUUGCAAGGGGUAGAUGUGUGUUGGGCUGACUACAUCUCAUUGUGUGGGCUGUUGCAUUCCUUUGUUGGGCUACACAUGCAGGCAGCAAAAGAUUCAAGGGGGUAAUUCUUGUGUGGGUAGAGGGGUGUUGGGCUAACUACAUCUCGUUGUGGGCUGCUGCAUUCCUUUGUUGGGCUACACAUGCAGGCAUCAAAAGAGUCAAGGAGAGUAAUUCUUGUGGGAAUUUUUGUUUAUCUUAGUUAACUUUGAAUUAUUCCCAGCAUUGUAAUGAAAUAAGUUGAACACCGAUUUUAUUAGGUUUAAUUUUGUUCAAUGUUAUGGAGUAA